rnacentral:misc_RNA from 1 species
AGCAGCCGCGGUAAUUCCAGCUCCAAUAGCGUAUAUUAAAGUUGUUGCAGUUAAAAAGCUCGUAGUUGAAUUUCGGGAUUGACGUGAUGGUCGUGCCUUACGGGGUAUGAACUGUUGCAGUCAAUUUCUCACCUUCUAGAGAAAUAUGAUGUCCUUAAUUGGGUGUCAUAUGGAACCAGAACUUUUACCUUGAAAAAAUUAGAGUGUUUAAAGCAGGCUUAUUGCUCGAAUACAUUAGCAUGGAAUAAUAAAAUAGGACGGCAUGGUUCUAUUUUGUUGGUUUCUAGGAUCACCGUAAUGAUUAAUAGGGAUAGUUGGGGGCAUUAGUAUUCAAUUGUCAGAGGUGAAAUUCUUGGAUUUAUUGAAGACUAACUACUGCGAAAGCAUUUGCCAAGGAUGUUUUCAUUAAUCAAGAACGAAAGUUAGGGGAUCGAAGACGAUCAGAUACCGUCGUAGUCUUAACCAUAAACUAUGCCGACUAGGAAUCAGACGAUGUUAAUUUUUUAAUGACUCGUUUGGC